UACGUAGGGGGCAAGCGUUGUCCGGAAUCAUUGGGCGUAAAGAGCGUGUAGGCGGCCCGGUAAGUCCGCUGUGAAAGUCAAGGGCUCAACCCUUGAAUGCCGGCGGAUACUGUCGGGCUAGAGUCCGGAAGAGGCGAGUGGAAUUCCUGGUGUAGCGGUGAAAUGCGCAGAUAUCAGGAGGAACACCUACGGCGAAGGCGGGUAGCUGGGCCGACACUGACGCUGAGGCGCGAAAGCCAGGGGAGCGAACGGG
rnacentral:rRNA from 1 species